UACAGAGGGUGCGAGCGUUGUCCGGAAUCACUGGGCGUAAAGGGCGCGUAGGUGGCGACCCAAGUCGAUGGUGAAAGCUCGCCGCUCAACGGCGAGUCGGCCACCGAUACUGGGUUGCUGGAGCACUGUAGAGGCAGAUGGAAUUCCGGGUGUAGCGGUGGAAUGCGUAGAGAUCCGGAAGAACACCGGUGGCGAAGGCGGCUGC
rnacentral:rRNA from 1 species